UAUAAACAAGUCCAUUAAACACUCUAUAUAUUAAUCAAUUGAAUUUGAUUCAAGCUUUGAAUCAAUUUUCAUACGUCACACGGCAGAGAGGGGGCGUGAGAAUGAAUAGUGGUUGCACGUGGGGCAUGUCUGGCCCCGUUGCGCAUAAUAACACACCGAAACCUCUGCGCUCUACGUCUGUUGCUACCUUCCAAACUCAAUGGAACAAUGCACAUACACUUUUCAUGCACGCUGCAACUAAAUUCUAACCUAACAUUGCAGGAGGAUAGACAUCAAAAUGUACGGAGCCACAUAUGUGCAGCAGCCUUUAAAUCACAUCAUAAAAGUCAAAACAACAACAACAAAAAAGUGCAGUUUGUUUGACGUUACGCCCACAACUGACAGCUUCCCAACUUGUUGCUAAAGAUUUACUUGAGCGGUUAACCGUGUUUGUUUGUUCCUGGCGCAAUGCCCACUCACAGUCUCUCCAAAACUGUCCAGAGAGGCGGGGCUUGAGCAGCGGCACGUUGCCAGGCUAAAUUUAGCAGCGCGGGAGAAAGAGUUCAAUGGAGUGACGUUGUAAGCGUAGGCGGGCCGGGGUUCCCUCCCUCCUUGUUUACAGUUGCAGGGUUUCCCUGAAUGUGUGGGAUGAGUUUAGGGGCCAGGGCUAAUAUAUGGAGAACGGCUGGCUGCUCCUGGGCAUAACUCAAAUGGAGAGAAUGGAGGCAGAUCCAGACAGCAUGCAGAAUAACUAUGUGCUGGUCCACACUGAGAACACAUGUGCACGGUCAGACCCAUCCCGUCGCAUCAAGGUGCUCCUUGCCCACAUGGUAGUGGCCAUAGUGGUUGUAUCAGUGAUGAUAGUGGCAUACCUGGUCUAUCGGGCGAACGGAGCUGCAUCCGAGGUGUCGACCCGUAAAAAAGUUAACAUAACCGGCCCGCUGAAAGACCCUAACCACCAGGGAGAAUAUGACAUAUUCACGGCUGAAAAAACGGCUACCUACUUAAUCUACGGCGAGCUGAAGUGCAUUGAGCACACAUACGAAUUAAUUUAUUUGUAUCAAAACUGGAAAGAGCAAAGCCCUGAAAUCAUCCAAACUAAGAAGUAUCACUAUCAGGAUUCCUGCAUUGUAAAAGAGGUCAAUCUCAGACAAGACAGCAGGGUUUAUCUGCUCUUUAAUAUCGGCACGCCGAAAUGCAAUGAGUCCGUGUUCCGUGUCUAUGAACUGUGAUGGGCUCUUGGUUUCAGAAACAAUGCUUGUUAACCCUCUAUCAACUGUAAGGGAUUAAUUAAAGCUCAAUCAACUGUA